rnacentral:tRNA from 1 species
GGUGAGAUGGCCGAGCGGUCUAAGGCGCCAGACUAAGGAAAGACCAGGGCAUUCGGUGUCCAAGUCAUCUGGUCUCUUCGGGGGCGCGAGUUCGAAUCUCGCUCUCAUCA